AUUGAACGCUGGCGGCAGGCCUAACACAUGCAAGUCGAGCGGAUGAAGGGAGCUUGCUCCUGGAUUCAGCGGCGGACGGGUGAGUAAUGCCUAGGAAUCUGCCUGGUAGUGUGGGAUAACGUCCGGAAACGGGCGCUAAUACCGCAUACGUCCUGAGGGAGAAAGUGGGGGAUCUUCGGACCUCACGCUAUCAGAUGAGCCUAGGUCGGAUUAGCUAGUUGGUGGGGUAAAGGCCUACCAAGGCGACGAUCCGUAACUGGUCUGAGAGGAUGAUCAGUCACACUGGAACUGAGACACGGUCCAGACUCCUACGGGAGGCAGCAGUGGGGAAUAUUGGACAAUGGGCGAAAGCCUGAUCCAGCCAUGCCGCGUGUGUGAAGAAGGUCUUCGGAUUGUAAAGCACUUUAAGUUGGGAGGAAGGGCAGUAAGUUAAUACCUUGCUGUUUUGACGUUACCAACAGAAUAAGCACCGGCUAAUUUCGUG
rnacentral:rRNA from 1 species